UCCCCGGUAGCUUAGUUGGUUAGAGCGGCGUACUUAAAAUGCGGAGGUCGAGAGUUCGAGCCUCUCUCUAGGCA
rnacentral:tRNA from 1 species